UGCCCCAUGGCUGAGUUGGUUACAGCGUCCGACUGUUAUCGCAUCCCUCAGCGGUACAGUACAUCGGAAGGUCGAGAGUUCGAGCCUCUCUGGGGCAG
rnacentral:tRNA from 1 species